rnacentral:lncRNA from 1 species
CCCCCCCUCUCUCUCUUGCCACCUGCUGCUCAGUCAUACCCCAGGCAGAAAGAGGCUCAUGUUGGUAUCGUAUCGUAUGAGAGGUCUGUGAGGAAUGAGGACUGCUCUGUCUUUUCUCCUUUCUGUUAUCAUGUGUUGCCAGUCUCCAUCACGUCCUUUUGUGAUGAGAUUACACCAUCUGGCCAGCUGCUACUCACAACAAGCAACAGUCUCUCUCUCUCUCUCUCUCUCUCCAGGUAGCAUGCAGGCUUCUCCCCGUCUGGGCGUGUGUUCACCAUGUGAAGCUAGCUUCCUGCUAUGAGUGUGUGUUCACCAGGGUCAUAUUCAUUAGUGUACACUGUAGCAAAAUGGCAAUCAAAAACAAGCGUUUCUAAUUGGACAAGUCCAAGUCCUGUUUCAGUCUGUUUUCUUCAGUUUGGUGCUAGUGAACACCACCCAUGUGUAGCCUCCACUAUAACCACUCCCCGACUGCUAUGAGUGACAGUGAAAUGCUUCUCAACUCCUUGAUCCUGUCGGAGCAGAAGGCAGCAUUUGCCUUCAUAGGGAUGUUGCUGCUGGUCCUGGGCCUGCUCAUAGUCCGGUGUUUCAGGAUCCUUCUCGACCCCUACAGUAGCAUGCCCUCCUCCAACUGGUCUGACGGGAUAGAGGGGCUGGAGAAAGGGACAUUUGAAUACGCACUGACCUAACAUAGAAGGAUACACACAUCACAUCACAUACAUUGAUUGCAGAGGCAUGUAUGCACGUACACAAGCAAGCACACAGGAAUGAGUAUGCAUUCAUGCACGCGCACGCAGAAAACACACACACACACACACCACAGACACAUUAGAUCCCAACCAGCCCCUGAAAGCUGGAAUGAAUUAACUGAAGUUGAAGCUGUUUCGGUGAGCUUUUACUGAAACUGUCCAGCUCAUUGUCUUAGGUCGGCUUUGCUGUCAUCGUUCGAGGGACUACAGCGUCACGUAGGACUGAUGCCACCUGUGGAAAGACAAUGUGUUCCACAUGGGUAACAUGUGAGUUGGUAUUGAGCCUGGUUAGAGAGGCCACAGAGAACCCUGCCUGUGGCAAGAUGGAGGUCUCAGGGAAAACCCCCCCAUCUAGUGAUUCAUUUGGAGAAAGAUGAGAACGGACUAAUCCUGAUCCUGAUUCAGACACACAUGGCUCUGCUCUACACAACACAACAAUGUACGGAUGGAAACAGGGUAAUACAAGGAUACCAUACCAGAGCUAAUCAACCAUCAAAGUGCUGUCUGCCUGUCAUCCUAAUGGAUUGCUGUGUAGUUCAUUUAGGACGGUCCUAUAGAACAAGAUUGUUAUAUUACAGUCAGACUGAUAUUGACUGACCAACAUUGUUCUCAGUUUCAAACUGAUGAUGUUAAUAAUGUUGAUGAUGAUGGCGAAGAUGAGGAGGAGAAGGAGGAUGAUAAUGAUGAUGAUAUGUUUUUUAUUGAACCUUUUUUUAACUAGGCAAGUCAGUUAAGAACAAAUCCUUAUUUACAAUGACGGCCUACUUGGUCCAAACCCGGACGACGCUGGGCCAAUUGUGGGCCAAUUAUGCGCCGUGCUAUGGGACUCCCAAUCACGGCCGGAUGUGAUACAGCCUGGAUGAUGAUGAUGAUGAUGAUAAUUAGGAUAACAUUGAUGAUGAUGCUGAUAAUGUUAAUGAUGAUGAUGAUGGUGGUGAUGAUGAUUACGAUGAUGGUGAUGAUGAUGAUGAUAAUAAUAAUGAUGAUGAUGAUAACAUGAUGAUAAUGAUGAUAAUGAUGCUAAUGAUGAUGACUAGUGCAUUACAUGUGUGUCAUGUUGUUUUGUAAACCUACUGACCUGGCAGAGAGAUACUAUGUCUGAACUGUGAUAUAUCUGGACAUGGUGUACGGAACUGUUUCUAAUCAAUGCAACAAUGGUCUUCAGAGUGAAUACUGUAUGUAUGUACUGUUGAUGAGAGAAGAGAAGAGAAGAGAAGAGAAGAGAAGAGAAGAGAAGAGAAGAGAAGAGAAGAGAAGAGAAGAGAAGAGAAGAGAAGAGGCUGUCAUCUCUGAGAGACAGGUUUUUAACGUUGGGAGAGUCUGUCACUGGCUGUCUGCUGAGGGAAAGGUUACUGGGAUAAUGAUGGCAGAGGAGUGUUUAUCCACACUGCACACGCCUCACCCUUCCUCACACCUCCUACCCUGCACAGUCUCAUCCCCUCCUCACCCAUCCUCCCCUGCACAGGAGUCCCUCUCUCACCCCUCCUCACGCUUCCUACCCCCUCCUUCCUCUCCUUUAUCUACUCAACCUUCCUCCUCCUCACCCAUACUCACUCCUCCACACUAUCCUCCUCACUCUUCCUCACUCCUCCUAACCCCUAGGAAUGGAGGAGAGACCCUCACCCAGACAGAAACAGAAUUUUCAUCUCAGAAUGUUAAUCUCAGUGCUGUGAAUCUGCCUUACUGUGACCUAUGGGUUUACGUGCCUUUGUUUAGAAAUAUUUGCCCGUGUGUGUGUGUGCAUAUGCUUGUGUGUGUAUCUGUGUGUGCACGCACGUGUGUGUGUGUGAUCAUGCGUGUAUGUGUGAGUGCGUGUGUCAUGAUGACUGAUGACGGUGUAUCUACUCACCUGUUGCUCAGAGCCAGAGGAAGAGACAACUCAUUUGUUGGAAUAAAU